rnacentral:rRNA from 1 species
AGCAGUCGCCGCGGUAAAACGGAGGAUCCAAGCGUUAUCCGGAAUCAUUGGGUUUAAAGGGUCCGUAGGCGGUCUUGUAAGUCAGUGGUGAAAGCCCAUCGCUCAACGGUGGAACGGCCAUUGAUACUGCAGGACUUGAAUUAUUGGGAAGUAACUAGAAUAUGUAGUGUAGCGGUGAAAUGCUUAGAGAUUACAUGGAAUACCAAUUGCGAAGGCAGGUUACUACCAAUUGAUUGACGCUGAUGGACGAAAGCGUGGGUAGCGAACAGGAUUAGAUACCCCCGUAGUCCCUGUCUCUUAUAC